CACCUGCCUUGCAAGCAGGCAGUCGUGAGUUCGAUCCCUGGUACCGAUAAAAAAACGAAAAAGACAAAAAAAAAAAAAAAAAAAAAAAAAAAAGAAAUGUGGUUACACAAGGGCCAGGUGAGAUCAGGAGGAGACAAAAUGUGACAGGGGCCCUGUGCAGUGGUUUUUCUGUGACACCAAUUACACGUCAUUUCCUCUCAUGCCAACCAAUUCUGUGAUACCAGCUGACUGUCCCAUAAUUUGUGGUGACUCAGAAAAAACAACAUCCGAAGUACAGCACUGCAGGCUUCAAAAGCAGGCCCCACAAAGCAGCGUCCCUCUCUGACCUCCUCCUGUCUUCCUGGCUCUUGCUCUCCUUUCUUCUCCUAGUAGGUGAUAGGAUUAUUUCCAAAAGAUGAAAAGUAUUUCCAAAAGAUGAGAAGUAUAAAACAAAAAGAGGCCUUUAUUCUGAGAACACGGAGAUGACCGGCACCCUUCACCGCUGGAGUCCGGCGAUCUCUCUAGCGGACACGUGGUGUGGGGUUAUGGUCUUACUAUGUACUGUUUGGCCUUGAACUCGCUAUGUAGCCCAGGCUGGCCUUGCACUCACAGCCAUCCUCCUUCCGGAGCCUCCUGAGUACUGGAACUAAAGGCAUACGCCAACCUGCCUGCCACCUUCCUCCACCUUUAAUUAUAAUCACUGCAACAGAAAAUCAUGUACCAGAUUGCCAUUAAACAUAUUUAAG